rnacentral:rRNA from 1 species
UUAAAGAGUUCUAUAACUCCCAAACCCAUGUGAACAUACCUAACGUUGCCUCGGCAGGUCGCACCUACCUUGUAGCACCCUACCCUGUAGGGCCUACCCGGGAGGUGCGGGUAAGCCUGCCGGCGGCCCACCAAACUCUGUUUGAUAUUGAAUUCUGAACCUAUAACUAAAUAAGUUAAAACUUUCAACAACGGAUCUCUUGGUUCUGGCAUCGAUGAAGAACGCAGCGAAAUGCGAUAAGUAAUGUGAAUUGCAGAAUUCAGUGAAUCAUCGAAUCUUUGAACGCAUAUUGCGCCCAUUAGUAUUCUAGUGGGCAGGACCGUUCGAGCGUCAUUUCAACCCUUAAGCCUUCGUUGCUUAGUGUUGGGAGCCUACGGCAACGUAGCUCCUCAAAGUUAGUGGCGGAGUUGGUUCACACUCUAGACGUAGUAAUUUUUUAUCUCGCCUAUUAGUUGGACUAAUCCCCUGCCGUAAAACCCCCAAUUUAUCAAGGUUGACCUCGAAUCGGUUCAGACAAACUCGCUAAAUUGAAGCAUCUUAGUCAGCGAAGGAAAAGAAACCAACAGGGAUUGCCCUAGUAA